CAAAAAGAUAGUGAGACAGACCUCUCCUUUGUUUUGUAGUUAGUUUUUAACUAGCUUAGACAGAGCAGUUUCCUGGACUGUAGUUUUUCUUUUUCUAAGAACUGUUCAACCCUGCUCUAGACUGAAACCCCAGAAGAACACCAGGAGCUCACACCUGUGGUCCACCAGGCUGGGCCUGGGCCACAACAUUUCCAGCACCAGAGGGACUGAUAACAGACUGGGAGCUUGACCAGCAUGAAGGAGAGGAUUAGAAGGAUUUAUUGUGGAUCACUGCCAGUGCAUAGCACAUAUGGCAUUCCUCACCCCUUACAUCAUCAUGGGAUGCUGAGGGGAAGCCUGUGGUGCAAGAAGGACUCCUCUCCUCUUCAUGAAGAUUGAAGUAUUCUGAAGAUUGAGUAUUCUGAAGGGUGGUGCCGGACUGAGAGUUGAGAGUUGGUGAUUUGGAGGAAUGUAUUGCAUUGGGAAAUUUGGUGGGGGG